CCUACGGGGGGCAGCAGUGAGGAAUAUUGGUCAAUGGCCGGAAGGCUGAACCAGCCAAGCCGCGUGAAGGACGAAGGUGCUAAGCAUUGUAAACUUCUUUUGUCAAGGGACAAAAUCAGGCUCGAGAGCCUGACCGAGGGUACUUGAAGAAAAAGCAUCGGCAAACUCCGUGCCAGCAGCCGCGGCAAUAUGGAGGAUGCGGGGGUUAUCCGGAUUUAUUGGGUUUAAGGGGUGCGAGGGGGGGCUGUUAAGUCCGCGGUAAAAGCCCGGGGCUAAACCCCGGCGAGCCGUUGAAACUGGCUGUCUUGAGAUGUGGAGAGGUAGGCGGAAUGCGCAGUGUAGCGGUGAAAUGCUUAGAUAUUGCGCAGAACACCGAUUGCGAAGGCAGCAUACCGGCGGCGAUCUGACGCUGAGGCACGAAAGCGUGGGUAUCGUACAGGAUUAGAUACCCUAGUAGUC
rnacentral:rRNA from 1 species